rnacentral:tRNA from 10 species
GCCGAAGUGGUGGAACUGGCAGACGCGCUGGACUCAAAAUCCAGUGGUAGCAAUACCGUGCGGGUUCGAUUCCCGCCUCCGGCACCA